AACAAUGUCAUGUGGGCUUAUCA
rnacentral:siRNA from 1 species